GUUAAAACUGGCUGCUAGAGUAAAUAUUCCCUUCGCCCCCUACAAUGUGUUCAGUUGCUGUUUACUAUGUAAAUUCUUCAUCCUGAUAAGCAUCCCCCUUCAAAUCAAUAAAACCUUGUGUAACCAAAGUACCUGUGAUAACUCCCUUUACUAACUCCUCCCCCACUACCUUUGUGCCAGUUAACAGCUAUAUGCCACGUAUAGCUAUAUGGAGGAUCAGUGGAAACUACUCACUCCCCCUCCCAUCGUG